rnacentral:snoRNA from 1 species
UUUGGUUGAGGCGAUGAUGAUAGUGUUAAUUAUCCCAGCUCAUUAUGAGACCUUUCAUUCUGGAAGGUCCGGGAAAAUAUCCAUUAAACAUUAUCUGAGCACCAAA